ensembl:lncRNA
CUGGGCUUUCAACGAUCAUUAAAAAUGACUGAGCCGAUUAUUAGCCCCUCCCUCGUGCUUUACUCUCGCGCUGCUCCGUGUGGCAAAUCGAGCGCACCUCUCUGCAUUUCGAACACGUGUCACAACAAUUAUAUAUAUAACCUUUCUGCUCAUUUAUUGUGAGAGUCACCUCUCACAAUAUAUAACUACUUAUUUAAUAUAAGCUUUCACAACAUGCCACUAAUAAAAGCCACUCGCCUGACAGGUUACCAGAAUUUUUUUUUUUUUUUUUUUUAAAUGUUGGAAGAAAACUUGUUUGUGCAAAAAGCCAUGUUUGCACAAACAACUAUCCUGUUUAUUUAUUGUACUUCUGGUCAAUGCUUCUAUUGCUGAUAAUUGGUUAGAAACUUGUUAUUUUAUUUAUUUAUUUUUUUAUCCUUUUUUUCAGGAUCAUUCCCAAUUGAACCCACUACAAACCUUAACGGAGGAAGAAGAUGCAGUCCUGUACAUUGAUGAAUGGACAACACCAGCAGAUUAGACAAGCCUCUCAGCCCUCGCAAGCUGCUCCUUAUCAUGCCCAUGAUGGAACAAGAAAUCUGCAAUCUUGGACUCCAAAACAAAGCAUUCACUAUCAAGCAAGAAACCUAGGAGUGCAAAAUGCACACGCUGAACAUUUCCCUUUGCACAAUGGAGCUUAUUCUAACAGACAAAUGUCAAAUUUGCAGACUUCUGCAGGAACUUAUCAGGAGGUUUCUUCUCAGCAGAAUGGUGGAGGCAAUAAAAACAGUUAUUUUUCUGGUAUGUUAUUUAACUAUAUUCAAAAUGUAUCAGCUAAUAAGCAAAGUGGAAACCCAUCUUUGCCAGCAUCUGGAUUUCAGAUUCCCACUCUGCAAGACUGUGAUCAGAAUUCAUCAACUCAGAGUCCACCUAACCAGAUGAACUCAAACACUACAUAUCCCCAGCAAGGCAUGUCCACUCAUUGGAAAGAGCCACUGGUUGUUAAUGAGAGACAAAUGAUUGGAACACAGGAUAGAACUGUGACUAAUAUCCAGCAUGUCAGUGUUCAGCAGGGCAUGCAACAGAAUGUGAAUGGAGACUUGACAAAACCCAUUUCAGCGUACACUACACCAACUACCUCAUUUCCACCUGAACGUGGUUUAUGUACCAGCACUAUGAUGUCUGGCUCAGAACAGACUGUGUACCUUGUUUCGAACAAUCAGGUUCAAAGACAAAGCGGCACUCAGCAUGGAUUCUCUCCUGUCAACUCACAGAGUUACAAUAUGGGAACCUCUCAGACUUCAGGAAACAGUAACAUUGCAACAUAUCCACCAUCAAGUGCACAGAAUUCUUACUUUUCCAGCACCAGCCACAAAACUCAGCAACACUCGGCUCAGCACCAAUUAAGAAACAACAAUGGGAUCAAGACUGCCACCUACAGUAACUCAAAUUUUUAUAAAAAGUAUGAAAAUAUUAAUUACUCUGCAGAAAUGAGAGGGCGUCAGAUAAAAACUUAUAAACAACAGAAAGUGAUCAGGCACUCAUUAAGUGCAGAUGGUUUAAAUAAUUCAUGCACUCCUGGGUUUGAUGGUUGUCGUCCUCCUCCACCGUACAGCUAUGCAAAUCACAGACAGCAGCAGUAUGUCAGAACGACCACAAUGGUCUCGUCUAAUCAAUCUAAUAUUCAACCUGGGACUUCGGCUACCCGUAAAAAUUAUAGUAACUUGAAUUCCAUCAAGUUAUUACCCGGGCAUUCUGGACAGUCUUUACCUCAAAGCACUCAAAAUGUAAUGUCAAGAACACAGCACGCUGUAAGUACACCCCAUCAGCAAACCUGUGUACCUAACGGUUUCCACAAAUCUGCUGCAGGAAAUGAAAGAAGCCCAAGUAACGAAAUUCAUCCUAAAAAGAACUGUAGCUUAAUUGAAUUGUUGCUUUGUUCAUCCCUGCUGCCGGAAUCUGUUGACCGCAAGACACAAUCAUCAGUAGCAAGCAGUUUUGAGAUGCUGUCAUCAGUCCAGUUAAAUGACAGCUCCAUUCACUCAUCACCUGGAAAUGCCAGCACCAAAGCUAUUGCUGUUGUACAACCACUGCCAUCACUGGAAGGUCAGCUUCACAAUGACCAUGCUUCUUCUGAUUCCACAGCAGGAGACUCUUUAAACAACCCUAAGGAAACUUUUGUUUUAGAUACCACAGCAAUUAACAAAACGCUGCCAUCUUCAGAGUCAGGGACACAAAACACAGGAAAACAACCUGAACUGGAUGUUAAUGUUCAAAAUUCAAUUCCAUCCCAAGAAUCAGUAUGCCAAAAUUCUCCUGAAGACCAAAGUGGGAUCCAGACACUUUCAACAUCACCCGUUUCUGAUCUUUCCGCACUCCCAACAUCCCCAUGGACAUUAUUGGCACUAACGAAGUUGAUAAAAGAUGCAGAAAAGAAUCAGAAAGAGCUCAGCGAUUUGAAAGAAUUACACACUGCACAAAAAAUUAUAGACCUGUUUUGGGAGGGAAAACUUGAAACACUGCAAAUGUACUCAUGCAAGGUAGGCUUUCUCAAGGUUUUAGAAGUUAAAGAAUUCUGCCAAAAACAUUUAACAGCCAACUCUGUUGUACUGUUGCAGGUAGAUGGCAAUUUUGAGGAGCAAAUGGAAAGCUACCAUGUCCUCAAAGACAAUGAAGUAUUUUCAGAAUUGCCUUACAAAUCAUCAUGGUUAAAUCUAAAUGAGCAGUUGGAUGAAAUAGACAAAGAAUUUGGUUUCCCAUUGUCUCUGAAACAUCACACUUCAUUGCUUGAGAGUGAUGGCCAGAAAGAUCAGAUGCACAUCAACAACAGUGAUCCUGCAAUUAUGAGUAAAGUGCCAAGCAAGAUCUUGCCAUCAACACAUUUUGAACCCGUUGAUUCAAAUGAAGGAAAAGAAGCCACCACACUCAAACCCCCCUCCAUUCAAACUCCCUCCUCUAAUCAGACAGAUGAUGCCAGUGACCCAUGUUUGUCCCUGAAAAUCCAAGUUAUGCCUCCAGAAGAAGCCAAACGUUACCAUGAGCAAAGCGAAAAUGAGAUGCCACAAAGUAUGGAUGCAGAGAGGGUCGUAAGUAGUUCCACGGAGAGUGAGACACCUGAUAAUACAGAGUCCACAUCGUGGGAAUCAAAAUUGGAAACUGUGGAAAUUGGCAUAAGUCAGUCGCUUUGCUGUCUUACAAAGCUGUUGAAAAUGACUAUAGGAUCAAGUACAUCUUAUGAUUGUAAAUGCCACAGCCAGAAAGAACAAAAGUUUGGAAAAGGGUUAAAAAAUACCAGUGAUAGUGGCGAAACAGUUGUACUAAAGCACAAUAACCAGCUUGGGAAGGAUCCAGUAAAGGACAAGGAGAACACUGAUGAUCAAGUUGUGACAUUUAGUGGUUCUGAGCUUUGCAGCUUUCUUGGUCAAACCAUAGAUUUGACUGAAGUUGAUGACCAACCUCAAUUGCCUUCUGAACAAAAUUCUAAGAACCACUCCAAAAUAGCCAAUACCAGUCAUUCAGGUAUUAUAAUUAUAAGUGAUGAAGAUGAAGAUCUCUCCAGUGGUGAAAAUGAAAUUCUUAGCCAGAAGACAGAUCUUGCCAUAAAGAUGUCUGAACCUUACGAUAAGUGUGGACAAGAACAACCAACGUCUACAGCAUCGAGUCUGUCAGGUGCCUCAGUCAGUACUAACAAAGCUGAAACUGAAAAGUUCUGCAGCACUGAGACUGAGAUUGCCAUCCAGAUCCUGGAUCAUGACAGGAGUUGUGAAGAAGCUUUAGAUGUGCCAGUGUCACCUUUGGAAACCAAAGAGCAAUCUCAAAUCUGUGCUGAAGGUGACUUUAAAGUAUCUGUCAAGCAUAAAAAAAUCAAAAGAAAACACAAGAGACUCGAAUGGGAUGAUGAAUUUGGUCCACCCCAAAAGGAAUCAAAGAAAUGCAACUUGCCUGUUGAUCUUAAUUUAGAAAAUGCCCUUGAUGAUGUUUCAAAAUGUGAAAAGGAGCCUGCUGUUGAAGCUGAAGCUCUCAAUAUAGACUCAAAAAGAACUGCAGAACUGGUGCUGUUUGGCUCAGCUCAACAAGACAAGUGUGCUUUAACUGGCAGCAGAAAAGCCCAUUUCCGUUUUGUAAAGGGUGCAUCUAAGGCAGCACACCUGAGGCCUCCAGAAGUUCUUACUGUCAAUCUCAACCCUUUGAGUAGCAAGUCCAGUGACAUGGUGUACAAGAGGAAUUAUUCAGUAAAACAGCUAAUUCAUGACAAAUGGUGGAGAAGUUUUCAACAGACUAAAGCUAGUCACAAAAAAACCCGUAAACAUCGUUCUUACUCUGUUGCCGGGGGUAUCUUGAUGAAACGAGAUGGAAUUAAGGAAUCCCGGAGUCUGAAGACGCUUGGAGAGGAGAAGAAGGAUAUCACUGCUGAUAAUAAGAGGUGUUCCUCUAAAAGUGAAAGCCAAAAUGUCAAACCUUGCCAGGAGCACAUAGUCUUGAGGUUCAGUGUUCUACCCAGUAACUUUGACCUCAAAGAUGGAUCCAGUGGCAGGAAGCAAUCCACCAAUCCCAUUUCAGAAGAGCCAGAGAAAGAGCAGAGCGCUGCUACAGCUGCUGCAAAACCGAAAGGUAAAUGGAGUUCGAGUCUGCAGAAGAAUCGACCUCGACCUAUUCCCAAGACCUUCAGUCUCUUCCACGAGUAUCAGAAGAAAUACAAGGAGCGCUCUCACUCAAAAGAUUAAUAAUGUGAAAGAUGUCUCUUCUCAGGGAAUACUUUUUUUUUUUUUUUUUUUUCCAUUUAAGACAUUUAGUACAAAGAUUCUGACUAAAAUUAUGCCUUUGUGUUUUUUUCUGCAGUGUAUAUACAAGCAAUACAUUAAGGCUGUGCAACCUUUUGUUGUUUACAUGCCUGUAAAAAGCAUUACAGUCAUGGAGCAGGUGUAGUUACUGACUUGUGGGAUGUGGGAACUUGGCAGCCUUUACAAAUUUGUUCAAGUGAUGACAUUCUGUUCGUCAUUGAUUAUUAUUGUGUCACUGCUCCUUGUCGGUUCACCACUGUACUCGCGACAGACAUGAAAGGAAUACAUGGUAUUUGCUGUCGGUGCAGUUCUGUUUAAUGAGCUGAGAAGCUCUGAAGAUGCAUGACACUGCAUAGUUUGUCUUGUGUCUGUGCAUCAGAGAGUGCAUGCAGACUUUAGAUGGUAAGUCCACAUGUUCAGAGCCAUGUUCAAAUUAACAAGUGAUAUCCAUGAAAGGGGGUGUAAGUCUAAAAUCUUUGUUGUUGUUUUUUUGACAAAAAACUUGACUUGUAACAUUUGCAUUGUGAGUUUUUUACUGUUUUUCUACACUUUCAGUAUUUGUACUCUAACCAUUUUUUAAAAUUUUUUUAUUAUUGUUUCUACGAUUAAAUUAUCCAUUUUUAAUGUGGUUUUGUCUUUGUCUAAACUAAUAGUAGGUAUUAUAAUUGAUUUAUAAGCUGCAAUAGUUGUUUAGCAUUAAAGGGAAAUGGCGUAGUUCCUGGAAAUAAUCUGAAACAAACCCAAAUUACAGGAAGGUGAAAUGCCCAUUAACGGUUUUAUUCUGCUCCUUGCAACGAUCCUCUUUGUUGAUCUUAUUGUAUUGUUUGAUAUCAAAUCAAAAAUGUUUAUGCAUGUUUUUACUUUAUAGCAGUUUUCUGGAAAUUACCCCAUAUGGAAAAGAAAUAGUAAAAACUUAUAUGAUUUACUCAUGAAAGUG